GGUGAACGCUGGCGGCGUGCCUAAUACAUGCAAGUCGAGCGAACGGACGAGAAGCUUGCUUCUCUGAUGUUAGCGGCGGACGGGUGAGUAACACGUGGAUAACCUACCUAUAAGACUGGGAUAACUUCGGGAAACCGGAGCUAAUACCGGAUAAUAUUUUGAACCGCAUGGUUCAAAAGUGAAAGACGGUCUUGCUGUCACUUAUAGAUGGAUCCGCGCUGCAUUAGCUAGUUGGUAAGGUAACGGCUUACCAAGACAACGAUGCAUAGCCGACCUGAGAGGGUGAUCGGCCACACUGGAACUGAGACACGGUCCAGACUCCUACGGGAGGCAGCAGUAGGGAAUCUUCCGCAAUGGGCGAAAGCCUGACGGAGCAACGCCGCGUGAGUGAUGAAGGUCUUCGGAUCGUAAAACUCUGUUAUUAGGGAAGAACAUAUGUGUAAGUAACUGUGCACAUCUUGACGGUACCUAAUCAGAAAGCCACGGCUAACUACGUG
rnacentral:rRNA from 1 species